ensembl:lncRNA
UAGGGAAGUUAGGGUAAAGCAUGGAUUCAUGGUGAAAAGUAGUUUGCUUUAGAGGGAAAGAGGCUAUUGCAGUGAAUAAGCAUUGACACGCACCACAUAAAGAUUUGGCCAGAGUGGCCACUAAAUCUGGAUUCCUAUUCAAAAUGAUUUACUUUUCCAAUGCAGCACAGCAGAAAACCAAGUUCUUUGAACCUGCACACCAGAAAGAAACUGUGAAUGUUUGGGAUUUACUGAUCACUGAAAGGAGAAAGGCUGGCAAACCUGGAGGAGGUUACCAAUAAGGGCACUGACCAUAUUGUUACCAUUAGCUUCCAGGAGAGCUGGAAUAGCAGCAGCCUAUUUUACUGUUCUUCAACCAGUUUCUCCAGGUUGAUCACACUUCACAGUAAAGCCAUCAAAACCAACAGCACCUUAGUUUUGAUGUACAGUAACUAUGGCAAAUGCUGUGGAAAUCUUCACAUCCAUCCAGACCGGGUUUGGCUUCCAGGAGAGCCAGUGAGGUGAUGGUCCAUGCAGUAGAAUAUUCCUACCAUGAACAAAUCAGGCAAAGUUUUACAAUAUCUGAAUUAAACUUUCAACUCAGACACUGUAAAACAGGAGCAGUAAUAUUCUGCCAAUGCCUCUUAUUGCCUUUAUUUGAACUGUAAAUUCUCUAGGAGGAAGUGCUCUCUUCCAAUGUGAGGUUGUAAAUCAGUUUGGAGAGCAUGGCCUCCUGGCACUGAAAUGAGGAUGGUUCGAGAGAGGUGUGCACUGGAAAGAUUGGCUUCCAGAAAAGAGACAUCAGCCUUUAAACAUGAUCUCUGUCACACAGCCCAAAGCCAAACAGCAGUAAGCAUUUCAAAAACUGAUUCCGCCAAGAAGGCAGCCAGAGCACGGGCAAGCAAGAAAAAAGGGGUUGCAAACAGCAGAGGAAUCAGAAAUCACUGGAAUGAAAAAGGACUAGCAGCAGGAGAGGAUGCAAACGGCUGGCAUCAAACUGCAUGAAUUAUGGCCUGGGAAAAGAAGAAGAAAAGCAGAAAGAUCUGAGAACAAACAGAAAAGCUUGGCAAAUGACUGCAGAGUUUGAAUGAUAACUCCAAGAAAGCUCCACUGAUUUCUAAAUAGCAGUUUAAGAUGUUAAGAUGAAUGAAAGAUAUUAGAGUGAAUUAGGUAUCAGAGCUAUAGACAGAAGGAUGGCAAAUGAUAAGACAGGCUGGCAGAGGGGAAAUAACCGUCAAAGCAUUAAAUAAGGAGAUCUCCAGUCAGCGAAGAUAUUAAAUGGUGAUCACACAGAAGAAAGAAGUGAGAAUGGACCUGAGAACACAACAUGUUCAGGGCAGAAAUGGCAAAGAUUACUGGGGCCUGAUAAGGGUUAAGGAAAGGUCAGAUAGAAUUCCAUUGCUUUUCCUCCAUGCAGAGGCACCUCGUCUUGUCUUUUUACCUCCCUGUCUUACUAGCUUCGGUUUGCACCACAGUUGUGUGACUUGUUUCUAGCAGAUGCUAUUUCAAGCAGCUUGAAAUGCGACCUUAGGUUUUAUGGCAACCUUCUCCCUACCCACCACCUCUUCUCAAGCCAUUUCCAGUUCAUUCCUGGCAUGACUGAAGUGCUGCACGAUAGCAUCUUUGCAAACCCCACGGGAGCAGCACGGGGCCAAAACAGAAUCCGUGCAUCUUGUUGCUUCUCAGUUUACAUUUUUUAAAGUCAGUUUAAUCCCACAUACUUAGUCCUGUAAGCAAGCAAUUUUAGAAAAUUAAAUAGGAAUUUCCCUGUGUGUUUAUGGCAUGCUCAUGAUGAUAGAUCUGUGUUUGCAGUUAAAUAUUUCCCUGCAGUGUUUACUGAUUAAACAUUCAAGGCACACAGGGAACGUGACUGCGGGCUUGACUGCAAGCCAGCUGAAGAGAGAAAAUGUCAUUGACUCAGUUGGUUUUUAGGACAGAUAAAACAGCCCAGACACUGGUUGGCAAAUAAAUGUGCACAUCUCUCUAUUACCAUUGAAGAGGGAGCUUUCUUUUAGGUACAGGAGCAUUUACAAGCCAUUUAACUCCUAAAAAACUUGUAAAUAGAGCAUGGAGCAGUUUCACUCUACAGAAGGAUAUACUGUAAAUGGUGUUGGGGUCACCAUUGAAACAAACUGCAUGUAAACCAAGCAGUGAAAUAUGCCAUAUUUGAAGUGUUUUGUAUAUUGCAGAAAGAGUCUUCAAACAAUGCAAGCAAUGAUAUUCAUUUCCAGAAACCAGUCCUGUAAAGUCAGGCUCCACUGAGUAUUACAAAGGUAGAAAGGAGGUUCACUACCAGAAGUGUGCCUAAAGCUAAUGCUACUUACGUGGUAUAAUCUGACUAGAAAUAUUGCGUACAAGAAGAAAAUGAGGGUCCCUUUGUCAUCAAAAAGUACCACUUUGGUUUGAUGAAAACACAUACAAACUUUUCUAAAAUGUAAUGUUAGUGUGGCAUUAUCCGUGAAUGAGAAAGAGGGAUAAAACUCGUUCAGUAGUAAAGCCACUUUGUUGCCAAGAGGUCAGUAGUUCAAACAGUCCUAUAUGCUUAGUAACAGAGUUGUCAAGAAAUGUAAGAUGCGAAUUUAGUCCCAUAAGUUAACCCUGCAAACCUGUAAUUAUGUGGUCUCAUAACUGGCAGGAGGAACCCUGGAGUAGGAGGGUUCGCCAGACUGCAUUUUUGGAGGUGCAGAACACUUAAACUCAGUCUUAAAGAGUAAGGUGCCUGCCAGUAUUCCCACCUGCCACCUUGGUUCCUGCUGCAACCCUACUGCAUCUCUUCCCAAUGUGCUUCCAUGGUCUUGUUUCAACACCACUGCCAUAUGCUGCUGUAGAGAAUGCUUCUGCAGAUCAUACAGGCACAAGGUGUUCUGACCCAAUCGUUCCCAGUUGCUUUAUGACAAGAUAAGCUCUUCCCUCUCAGGACCAGGUCUUUUAAUGCAACUGAAUCGUCCAAUGCUGCAGGGAGGCACUGCAGUGAGCUGCUGCUGCCCUCCAGCAGGGCUGGGCCGGGGGAGGUCUGGAGGCACUCAGCUGCCUACAACACAUGGACAAUUGGGAACAUCAGCCAGGAAAGCCCCUGGCUCCUCCUGUCAGCAGCUCGCAGUGGCAUGGCAUAAUGAUGUCAGAGAGUGCUGAAAUCCGCGGAAAAGAUUUCUGAAAGAAUGGAGUCAGGCAACUGCAUAAUUUUGUUACAAUAAGCCUGCAUAUUAUAUUGGCCAGAGUUAAGUUUUAUGGCUUUGCUUGACAUAGUCAAGCAUGGCUAUUACAAAGAGAAUGCAUCCUGUCUUUUCCUGAGCUACUUUUAUUGCAAAACCUGUUAUUCAUCAUACGUUUGGUCAAAAAACUGAAAUAAUGCUUUUUCAGAUUUGCUCUCAAACACUUCCUGAGCAAACAGUAAAAGUUAAAGGCUGGCAGUUCAGGACUGUUUAUUGUUUCGUGGGGCUGUGUUAGUCUGAGUAUGUGAUGAAGGGAAACACAAAAGCAUACGCUUUAAAAAAGGAAUUGAGAAGGAGAUACAAUUCAGAAGUAUCAUUUCAGCCUUCUCGGAUGUCUUUUUGAAUCAAUGUCUUCUGGCACUGUGUGGACUUGGCGAGACACCAACCUGAGCACAGUGAGACUCGGUAUCGCAGGCCGUCACAGACGUAGUCCCUGAAAACUGGGACAAACAGAAAACAAAGUAAGGAAAAAGCGAGCACGCAGAACAGAGCAGCUUGCUGCUUGAACUCAUCUGAGUGCAAACUCAGUGCUGCUGUAUCACUGCUUCGAUCAGAAGACAAAAGCAACCGCAGUUUCUAAUCCCCCACAGCUGCAACUGUUAACUGAGAUCAAAAUGAUGGAGACUGCCGUCUACUG